AGAGGGUGCGAGCGUUAAUCGGAAUUACUGGGCGUAAAGGGUGCGUAGGUGGUUUUAUAAGUCAGAUGUGAAAGCCCCGGGCUUAACCUGGGAACUGCAUUUGAAACUAUGAGGCUAGAGUACGGUAGAGGGAAGUGGAAUUUCCGGUGUAGCGGUGAAAUGCGUAGAUGUCGGAAGGAACAUCAGUGGCGAAGGCGACUUCCUGGACCGAAACUGACACUGAGGCACGAAAGCGUGGGGAGCGAACAGGAUUAGAUACCCUGGUAGUCCACGCCGUAAACGAUGAGAACUAGAUGUUAGGUGGCUAGUCCACUUAGUAUUGUAGCUAACGCGUUAAGUUCUCCGCCUGGGGAGUACGGCCGCAAGGUUA
rnacentral:rRNA from 1 species